UCCUUCUGCUGGACACACCUCCCUUAGUCAAUCCCUUAGGAUGUAACAGAACCAGAGUGCCUCCUGGGGGAAGGGGUAUUGCAUUGGAAGGGAAUGGAGGAGGAGUUUAUCAACAACCCAACUGAUUUUGCCUUGUGAAAGGCCAUGUGCUUCACAGAGGACUCCAUUAUUGCCUUAGGGUAGAAUGGGGGCUUGAAUCCCUGUAUUAGAACACAAUAACACUUCAUUGGCAUACAGUUUGGCUGUUAAUCACA